rnacentral:lncRNA from 1 species
GGUUAUUCUCUCUCUCUCUCUCUCAAGAGAUGUUGAAGCUCAUCAAGAAUAAUAGUGUGUUGAACAUGCCCUUUCAACAUCAUGAUUUUCCUUCACAACUUCACAUGUUUAUUAUCUUCACAACUUCAAUAAGAUAGAGAGGAAGAAGAAGAAGAAGAAGUUGAAGCCUAUAAUAGCUAGAUCCAUAUUAUAUUAUUAUAUUAUUAAUAUGGGUUUAGAAUUGAAGGCUCCUUAAUUAAUUUGUGGCCAACAUCAACAACAAAUCAUGAAAAUGGAAUUCAAGGCCUCAUCAAAAUUCCAUAUCCAUGGGGGAAUUAAGCACUCCUGGUCCGAAUCACUAUAUAUAUUAUAUCUAUUGUUCUUCUCUUCUAUCUUCUAUCUUCCACUUUCUUUUUUUUUUCCCUUUAAUUCUUAAUUUAAUUUUACUUAGCUAGAUAUUAUAUAGUAGUUUAUGAAUUGGGUUUGAGAAUGUAAAUUUAGUUACCCUUUAAUUUGUUUGUUGCUA